UAAGAAUGAACUUAGUGUGGAGGAUCUGGAAAUAUUUAAUAAACAGAUGGAAAAACAGUUUGAGAUUUGGGAGAAGGAAAUGGCGGCAAUAAAGAGUAAGAAGCUGGCAAGGGAUAUGAAUGAUGUCCAGAUGAAACGUGUAUAUAAAUGGCAACGUCCGUCGGGAGACAGGGGACGACAGAGAUCUGCCUCUAUCUCCUCAUUAUCCUCGGCGGGUGAAAAUUCGGACAACCCACGCAGAUUACAUGGAUCUAAUCAACGACAUAAAAGAAAGAAGUCUGAGUUUGUCCCUCAAGCUAAGAAGCGGUCUGAGGCUCCUCCCACAACAAGCAGCACUCCUGCUGAUACCUUACAGCUUUUGACAAAUUUACGGCAAUAAAGGAUUUGCAUCUAUUUGGACGCAAUCUUCUUUUUAAAAAAUGGCAUCACAAGACAGAUGAGUCAUUGGGCCUUACAUCCCCUGAGGAGAGACAAGCUCUUAAUGAUCUACAAGAUUUACUAUCUGAACAAGAGAUUCCAGCUGAAUAUGAGGCUAAUCUGAAGUCACUACUGGAUACAGCGGUUGAAUCAUCAGUGAUAUCAAGGAAACUGGCAGAUGCACUCCAGAUACCACAUCCGACAAUAUCGACUCUCUAUUUAUUGCCAAAGGUUCACAAGCACGCUUCUAGACCUCCAGGAAGGCCGAUCAUUUCGGGCACAGGAUUGAUGGCAUUCAAUUGGAACCAGACACUCUUCUUGUUACAUGUGAUGUGGAAUCGCUGUAUACUAGCAUCAACCAUACGGACGGAUUGUCGGCAUCAAGUUUCUUUU